ACUAACUCGUACUGCUGAUCUGCAGUCGAGCGGACAGAUGGGAGCUUGCUCCCUGAUGUUAGCGGCGGACGGCUUGAGAUCCGUGGGUAACCUGCCUGUAAGACUGGGAUAACUCCGGGAAACCGGGGCUAAUACCGGAUGGUUGUCUGAACCGCAUGGUUCAGACAUAAAAGGUGGCUUCGGCUACCACUUACAGAUGGACCCGCGGCGCAUUAGCUAGUUGGUGAGGUAACGGCUCACCAAGGCGACGAUGCGUAGCCGACCUGAGAGGGUGAUCGGCCACACUGGGACUGAGACACGGCCCAGACUCCUACGGGAGGCAGCAGUAGGGAAUCUUCCGCAAUGGACGAAAGUCUGACGGAGCAACGCCGCGUGAGUGAUGAAGGUUUUCGGAUCGUAAAGCUCUGUUGUUAGGGAAGAACAAGUGCCGUUCAAAUAGGGCGGCACCUUGACGGUACCUAACCAGAAAGCCACGGCUAACUACGUGCCAGCAGCCGCGGUAAUACGUAGGUGGCAAGCGUUGUCCGGAAUUAUUGGGCGUAAAGGGCUCGCAGGCGGUUUCUUAAGUCUGAUGUGAAAGCCCCCGGCUCAACCGGGGAGGGUCAUUGGAAACUGGGGAACUUGAGUGCAGAAGAGGAGAGUGGAAUUCCACGUGUAGCGGUGAAAUGCGUAGAGAUGUGGAGGAACACCAGUGGCGAAGGCGACUCUCUGGUCUGUAACUGACGCUGAGGAGCGAAAGCGUGGGGAGCGAACAGGAUUAGAUACCCUGGUAGUCCACGCCGUAAACGAUGAGUGCUAAGUGUUAGGGGGUUUCCGCCCCUUUAGUGCUGCAGCUAACGCAUUAAGCCACUCCCGCCCUGGGGGGAGGUACGGUCGCAAAGACUUGAAAAC
rnacentral:rRNA from 1 species